rnacentral:ncRNA from 2 species
GAAAUUCUUCGGGGCAGGGUGAAAUUCCCGACCGACGGUAAUGAGCUAGCUGCUUAAAGUCCGUGACCCGCGUAUGCGGUGGAUCUAGUGAGAAUCUAGAACCGACAGUAAAGUCUGGAUGGGAGAAGAAUUAA